rnacentral:rRNA from 1 species
ACUCCUACGGAGGCAGCAGGUGGGAAGUAAUUGCACAAUGGGGAAACCCGUGAUGCCAGCCAUGCCGCGUGUGUGAAGAAGGCCUUCGGGUUGUAAAGCACUUUCAGUAGGAGGAAGGUAGUGUAGUUAACACCUGCAUUAUUUGACGUUACCUACAGAAGAAGCACCGGCUAACUCCGUGCCAGCAGCCGCGGUAAUACGGAGGGUGCGAGCGUUAAUCGGAAUUACUGGGCGUAAAGCGCAUGCAGGCGGCUUGUUAAGUCAGAUGUGAAAAGCCCGGGGCUUAACCUCGGAAUUGCAUUUGAAACUGGCAGGCUAGAGUCUUGUAGAGGGGGUGAGAAUUGUCAGGUG